GACAGAGGGGGCAAGCGUUGCUCGGAAUUACUGGGCGUAAAGGGCGCGUAGGCGGGAUGGCAAGUCGGUCGUGAAAGCCUUCGGCUCAACCGAAGAACGUCGGCCGAUACUGCCGUUCUUGAGGGAUGCAGAGGAGACUGGAAUUCCCGGUGUAGCGGUGAAAUGCGUAGAGAUCCGGAGGAACACCAGAGGCGAAGGCGGCCUACUGGGCUGCACCUGACGCUGAGCCGCGAAAGCCAGGGGAGCGAACGGG
rnacentral:rRNA from 1 species